CUGUCAUGUUAGAGGUCUCUGAUCUCUGAAGAUCUUUGCUUAAAGGAAGUCUGCCUUGACCUUUGAGAAACUGUUCUCUCUAAGUGUUACGAUGUCCAGUAACCUGGAACAACACUUCCUACACCCUCUCUCUCAUUUGUUGUUCAUUUCAGGGAGUACAGCCCACCUAGUGAAUAUCAAGCAGUGUUUCAAAAGCACUGGACAUCUCAAAAGGGAGAUUCAAGGUCAAGCGUGGGCCCUCAUUUCAGUGCAUCAGUGGAAAGAAAAAAGGCGCAAAUACAUUCCUCCAGAGACUGGGAUGAAAAUGGGAGUUAUCUCUGAAGACAAAGGAAACGGUUACCUGUUUCAGCAUCCUCGAGCCUGUGUUCCUCAUCGGGAGGUUUGGAUGGUGGCCCCAUGGAUGGAACUCGCCUAGGAAACUGCCCUUCUGAAUAGUCCAACGAGUGUGUGGGUUGACUAACUGCAGCCCAGGUAUAAAGUUGAUCUUGCUAUAUUUAAAAAUAAAAAAUGUUGAAAUGCUAUUAAUUCAGUUACCAAAAAAAAGCCAUGACUAAUACAUUGCAAAAUCA
rnacentral:antisense_RNA from 1 species